UACGUAGGGUGCAGGCGUUAAUCGGAAUUACUGGGCGUAAAGCGUGCGCAGGCGGUCUAUUAAGACAGGUGUGAAAUCCCCGGGCUUAACCUGGGAACUGCGCUUGUAACUGAUAGGCUGGAGUGUGGCAGAGGGGGGUGGAAUUCCACGUGUAGCAGUGAAAUGCGUAGAGAUGUGGAGGAACACCGAUGGCGAAGGCAGCCUCCUGGGCCAGCACUGACGCUCAUGCACGAAAGCGUGGGGAGCAAACAGG
rnacentral:rRNA from 1 species